AACGAACGCUGGCGGCAUGCCUAACACAUGCAAGUCGAACGAAGCCUUCGGGCUUAGUGGCGCACGGGUGCGUAACGCGUGGGAAUCUGCCCCUUGCUUCGGAAUAACAGUUAGAAAUGACUGCUAAUGCCGGAUGAAGUCUUCGGACCAAAGAUUUAUCGGCAAGGGAUGAGCCCGCGUAGGAUUAGGUAGUUGGUGGGGUAAAGGCCUACCAAGCCGACGAUCCUUAGCUGGUCUGAGAGGAUGAUCAGCCACACUGGGACUGAGACACGGCCCAGACUCCUACGGGAGGCAGCAGUGGGGAAUAUUGGGCAAUGGACGCAAGUCUGAUCCAGCAAUGCCGCGUGAGUGAUGAAGGCCUUAGGGUUGUAAAGCUCUUUUACCAGGGAUGAUAAUGACAGUACCUGGAGAAUAAGCUCCGGCUAACUCCGUG
rnacentral:rRNA from 1 species